CGGGAGGCAGCAGUUAGGAAUCUUCCGCAAUGGGCGCAAGCCUGACGGAGCGACGCUGCUUGGAGGAUGAAGCCCUUCGGGGUGUAAACUCCUGAACUGGGGGCGAAAUCCCUGAUGAGGGGGCUGACGGUACCCAGGUAAUAGCGCCGGCCAACUCCGUGCCAGCAGCCGCGGUAAUACGGAGGGCGCGAGCGUUACCCGGAUUUACUGGGCGUAAAGGGCGUGUAGGCGGUUUGGCGCGUCUGGCGUUAAAGACCGCGGCUCAACCGUGGGGGUGCGCUGGAUACGGCCAAGCUAGACGGCUGGAGGGGGUGGUGGAAUUCCCGGAGUAGCGGUGAAAUGCGCAGAUACCGGGAGGAACGCCGAUAGCGAAGGCAGCCACCUGGCCAGUUUGUGACGCUGAGGCGCGAGAGCGUGGGGAGCAAACCGGAUUAGAUACCCGGGUAGUCCACGCCCUAAAC
rnacentral:rRNA from 1 species